AAAAAUAUACCAUUCAGAUAAGAAUUUUAGAAAAUCAUUUUCCUAGCUAACGUAAUGUCUAUUAGGGACAAUAUCCCACAUCGGAAGUUGAGUAGGAUCUUAAGUGGUAUAUAUAAGAUAUGGGUCUCUCCACCUAUUGCCCACACUCUAAUAAUGUCUUUAUUUUUU
rnacentral:sRNA from 1 species